AAAUCCCAGAAGCCCACUGACGGUCAUUCGACUGUGUGAAGUCUGACGAGAGUGCGCGCCUUUUUUUCAUCCUGCCACAGCCCCCCAAGAACAAGUUUCUAAGAUGUUCGCAAAGGCUUUCAUCGUUGCUGUCGUGUUUGCGGUAUUCCUGACGAAAUGUGCAGUUGAAGUAGAAGCGCAAACAACAAUGGGCCCCACCACCAUGAACAACACCAUGGCAGGGACGACAGCUGCACCAGCCGGCGGAGCAGCCAGCCUUGCAGCAGCCCUGCUGAGUGUCCUGAUGCCGGCACUGAUGGCAUUACUCCUGUCUAACUGAAUAUUUAAAACGGCUGGGCAUUAUUGCUGUCAAUCAGUUAUGUCAGAGUUUGGUAGAGGCUCGUGUAGUUUUUGCGACCUGCAGUUUUUACUUUAUCCGUGCUGAUUUCACUUAUGACGCACGCGGAAGAAAAAUACAGGCAUUGCAGACUUAACGUUACUAGUAAUGUGGCGAUAAAUUUCACAUCUUAUAUAGAAUAUUAGAAGUAGAUUCUUAUAUGGAAUUAAUCGUUAUAAGGGAUUUAGAGUGCAUAUCUGGGGUCGUUAUUGUUCAUUGUCAGAAACAGCACUUACAAAUGUACAUUGCCCUAAUAGGCACGUGUCGACGUCUUUUGUAACUUCGAAUACUAUACAGAACUACUAUAAUUAUCAUAAAGUUCACUCUAUGUCACAGUUCUAGCUGUUGUAGCAUCCGUUGAGUACUGGUUUUGUUGUUUUUCUUACAAUAAACCACUUUGCAGUGCAAAUCCA